rnacentral:rRNA from 1 species
AUGGCAGGUUCCGGAAUCGAUUGGGCUUCAUCGAUUGUGGGAGACGUGCCAUCACCUCAGACAAUACAGCCACCAUCACAAGAGGUACAAAGACGUCAGAAUACGCACAAACAGGUGACGAAACUUGAAUCUGUGUCAUCAAGAGGAAUAGAUCAGGAGAGGGCGAGGUAUCAGAAGGUUGAAGAACUGAAAGAAACAAUAAGAACAACAGAAGACGCAAAAAAUCAUUCAUGCAAAGAGUAUAAGCUUAUUAAGAGAUCCGGUGAAGAAAUGUCCUUCAUCGCUGAGACUAUACUAUUGGACAGUGUCAUUGCUUCUGAAUCAACUAAAGUAUCUAUAAUAUAA